CUAUGCGAUGAUGGUAACCAUCUUUCGGGUCAUAAAAUAUAUGUUGACAUCCUUCUUCGCUGAGCAUGG